GUCUAGGAUGAUUCUAUAUCUCUGAAAUCAUGAUUAAAAGAGGAUCACAAAAUUGAGAUGAUUUUUAAAAUGGUAUUCUUUAGUUAAUUGAGAUAUAUGAAAAAUGCAUGCAUGUGUAGUGGAUAUGGAUUUCGUAACCUUGGUACAGAAUAUGAGCAUAUUAGGAUGAGUUUUGAUUCAUAAAAGCCCAUGUGAGAUAUUUGAGCUAUGUCCCUUUUUCUUGGAGUGAUGAAUGAAAAACAUAUUCUUAAUUUCUUGGCGAUAUUAAGUUUGAUGGACUAGAGAAUGCUAGAAUUCACUCUUGUGCUUGUUGAAACGUUAUAUCAAUACAUGGCCCUGAUUCUGGAAGGGAUAGAGGCAACCUAGGAAUUAUCACCAUUGCCAAAUAAGCAUGUGUCCCUAUUUGUGCCCGUCAUGGGACUCCCU
rnacentral:lncRNA from 1 species